AACUGGCCCGUCAAGUCCCUCC
rnacentral:miRNA from 1 species